AACGCACCUUGCACCCUUUGGUAUUCCGAAGAGUAUGUCUGUUUGAGUGUCAUGAAACUCUCAACCCCCCUAUUUUGUAAUGAGAUGGGUAGUGGGCUUGGAUUAUGGCUUUUGUCGGCUUUCGUCGGCUUGGCUGAAAUAUACGAGCAACCCGGUCGAAUUCGACGGCUUGACUUGGCGUAAUAAUUUAUUUCGCUAAGGACGUCACUUUCAACCAUUCAGUGUUGCUUCUAAUGCGAUAUUCAUUUAAGCUUUAGACCUCAAAUCAGGCAGGACUACCCGCUGAACUUAA
rnacentral:misc_RNA from 1 species